GUCCUCACUCAGACAAGCCUGUUACUGGUGCAGGGCCUUUGCAAUGAAUGGUUGGAACUCCUUCCCCAGAAACAGUGCUGCCCAUGCCAGUGAGAAUUAAGUGACUGGGAAGCUGACUUCAGCAAUACUGAGAAAUCACUCCUGCCUCAGAAAAGAUAUCGGGUUUCUUAGGCUUGAAGAAGAAAUUAGGACAACUCAAAAUUCAGCAGAGACAUAAGACCCACUGCUAUCGAGUUAAUUCUCACUGAUAGUUCCUCUUCCAACAUUUUGAAAAACUAUUCCGGAACAGACAGCCUCGUUUUUGCCCAUGGAGCACCUGAUGGAUUUGAAAUGCUUACUUUGAGAUUAACAGUCCAAGGCAUAUAUGCCAGCUCCUUAGCAAAGACUUCAGACAUUGAGACAUUUAGCAGUUAUCGGCUAUGCUAACUCACCAAAAUGAAGUUCACUGGUCCAUGGUCUAUGAUGAUAUCCAAAAGAACACUCGUAGUUGCAGGCACAUGGAAUAAAGACUGUCUCAAUAGUCUGAUGAUCCCCUCUGGAGGAGAAUAACCAUGUUCUAAAGAGGAUAAAUGGUUGUCUUAUAACUUAAGGGAAUAAAAUGUGUAACUUCUCUUUA